rnacentral:rRNA from 1 species
CGAAAUGUGAUAAGUAAUGCGAAUUGCAGAAUUCAGUGAGUCAUCGAAUCUUUGAACGCACAUUGCG